ACGAACGCUGGCGGCGUGCUUAACACAUGCAAGUCGAACGGAAAGGCCCCUUUGGGGGUACUCGAGUGGCGAACGGGUGAGUAACACGUGAGUAACCUGCCCUUGACUUCGGGAUAACUUCAGGAAACUGGGGCUAAUACCGGAUAGGAAUCCUUGCUGCAUGGUGGGGGUUGGAAAGCUUCGGCGGUUUUGGAUGGACUCGCGGCUUAUCAGCUUGUUGGUGGGGUAGUGGCUUACCAAGGCUUUGACGGGUAGCCGGCCUGAGAGGGCGACCGGCCACAUUGGGACUGAGAUACGGUCCAGACUCCUACGGGAGGCAGCAGUGGGGAAUAUUGCACAAUGGGCGGAAGCCUGAUGCAGCAACGCCGCGUGCGGGAUGACGGCCUUCGGGUUGUAAACCGCUUUCAGCAGGGGCGAAGCUUGUGGUGACGGUACCUGCAGAAGAAGCACCGGCUAACUACGUG
rnacentral:rRNA from 1 species